CCUACGGGGGACAGCAGUGGGGAAUAUUGGGCAAUGGGCGCAAGCCUGACCCAGCAACGCCGCGUGAAGGAAGAAGGCUUUCGGGUUGUAAACCUCUUUUAUCAGGGACGAAGGAAGUGACGGUACCUGAGGAAUAAGCCACGGCUAACUACGUGCCAGCAGCCGCGGUAAUACGUAGGUGGCAAGCGUUAUCCGGAUUUACUGGGUGUAAAGGGAGCGUAGGCGGGAAUGCAAGUCAGAUGUGAAAGCCAGGGGCUCAACCCACGGCCUGCUUUUGAAACUGUGGUUCUUGAGUGCAGGAGAGGCAGGCGGAAUUCCUAGUGUAGCGGUGAAAUGCGUAGAUAUUAGGAGGAACACCAGUGGCGAAGGCGGUCUGCUGGACUGCAACUGACGUUGAGGCGCGAAAGCGUGGGGAGCAAACAGGAUUAGAUACCCUGGUAGUC
rnacentral:rRNA from 1 species